GUGUCAGCAGCCGCGGUAAUACGGAGGGUGCGAGCGUUGUCCGGAAUCACUGGGCGUAAAGGGCGCGUAGGCGGCCGUGUAAGUCACUUGUGAAAUCCCGGGGCUCAACUCCGGGGCUGCAGGUGAGACUGCGUGGCUAGAGCACGGUAGAGGCGAGUGGAAUUCCCGGUGUAGCGGUGGAAUGCGUAGAUAUCGGGAAGAACACCGGUGGCGAAGGCGGCUCGCUGGGCCGUUGCUGACGCUGAGGCGCGAAAGCGUGGGGAGCAAACAGGAUUAGAUACCCUGGUAGUCCACGCCGUAAACGAUGGGUACUAGGCGUCGGGGGGAGCGACCCCCUCGGUGCCGUCGCUAACGCAGUAAGUACCCCGCCUGGGGAGUACGGUCGCAAGACUGAA
rnacentral:rRNA from 1 species